rnacentral:lncRNA from 1 species
UUAAGUGAUUUUAGACUAGAUUGUUAUAAGGCCUUCCAUUUUGUUAUUAUUUGGAUUAUUAUUUUUAUAUGAUGUAUUUAUAAGAAGUUGAACAUAGUUUCUUAAACUAUAGUAUGUCUUUUCUAUGUUUUCGCAACUAAAUUUUUAAAGUGACUUAUUUUCAUCAAAUCAUAUGUUUUGAACAAGUGAUUGGAAGGAGUUUUUUUUUAUAAUUAAGAUUUUUUUUAUUUUAAGAACGGUUUUCAAUGAAAACAGGUUUUCGCUAAAACACUUGAAUGUGACAUGCCAGAUUCGGCUAUAAUGUCC